rnacentral:misc_RNA from 1 species
GAUGAAGAACGUAGCGAAAUGCGAUAAGUAAUGUGAAUUGCAGAAUUCAGUGAAUCAUCGAAUCUUUGAACGCACAUUGCGCCCGCCAGUAUUCUGGCGGGCAUGCCUGUUCGAGCGUCAUUUCAACCAUCAAGCCCCAGGCUUGUGUUGGGGACCUGCGGCUGCCGCAGGCCCUGAAAAUCAGUGGCGGGCUCGCUAGUCACUCCGAGCGUAGUAAUACAUCUCGCUCUGGACGUGCUUCGUGCUCCGGCCGUUAAACGCCUUAUUUACCCAAGGUUGACCUCGGAUCAGGUAGGAAGACCCGCUGAACUUAAGCAUAUCAAUAAGCGGAGGA